UGGCUCCGCCCGGAAGCCAGGGCCCCCCGCGAGCGCCAGCAGGCGCCACAGGAAGUACCUGCGGCGGGCGUGUGCUCAGGCCGCCGCCGACCCCGCGACCCCCGCCGCAGCCGGCGUCCUGGACGGCCCCUGACCGCCUGAGUACCCCUCUGCGCUCAAGACCGCGACCUGGGACACAGCCGCCCUCACCAGAGAAUCUGAAUUCUGAUGUCGGCUUUCAGAAACCACCUCACUGUGCUUCACUGCCCGUCAGCACCUGGUGCUGGGCAGAUGAGUCCAGAAGAAAUGUCUUUGGUAAAAGUUGAUUCAACCAUGAGGGACCUUCCAAGCAAGGCUAGUCACUGCCUGAAGAAACACUUGAGGUGCCAGUCCUUGCAAGGGGCCAGGGACAGUGGACUCGGAGGCUGGCUUCCCAUGAGGAUGUUUCUCCAAUUCAGAGGACCCCAGUGGAGACAGCAAACCAUGUGCAGGCAGCACUGUCUUCAAAAUAUGCCUUCACCCGUCACCUUUCCAAAAUGCCUUUUCAGCAUGUAAUUGCCAAGGUCCCAAUAAAAUCACAGAAAGGCACCAGGA